CCUUCCCGCCGCAGCAGCGGGUCUGAGCGGCCUGGACAGCGGCCCAGCCCCCCUCCCUCUCUCUCCCUCCCCGCCGCAGCAGCGAGUCGCAACAGUGGUCUCCUCCUGGAUCGGUGACGACGCCAUCCCUUGCUCGACUCUGGCGAUUGGCGUGGGAAGAAUCUAGCGACCGGAUUGGGAGGGCUCGAGCGAGAAGAACGGGCAGCUCGGCGAAUGUACACCACCACCGGCCGGCGCCAAAUGACUCCAGAGACCACGAGCGCGGCAACUCCGGCGAUCAGGCUGGGCUCUUCCUGUACCAGUAAACUGUCCCUAAGCUUGACCAUGGAGGCUUCAAGGUGUUCUGGUGAUUGGGCCGAGCCGGGAAGGUUGUAGUAAAAUCUGGGCAAUAAUAUGAACCUUAGGGUUCUUAUGUGUAAUUUUGGUUACGAGGUUCAUUUGUUUUAUUUUGAUGCCGGUAAUGGAGCUGUGUUUUAAUUUCCAUUCCUUUUUGUUUGUCAAUGAAAUUAUGCUUGCUCAUUUUGCUUUGCAUUAUGUGUCCCACUACUGUAGUUCAUAGGUGUAAAUAUGAUGCAAUGAAGUUACUUCUGAA